UACGUAGGGGGCAAGCGUUGUCCGGAAUCAUUGGGCGUAAAGAGCGUGUAGGCGGCUAGGUAGGUGGGUUGUGAAAACUGGAGGCUCAACCUUCAGACGUCGACCCAAACCCCCUGGCUAGAGUCCGGAAGAGGAGAGUGGAAUUCCUGGUGUAGCGGUGAAAUGCGCAGAUAUCAGGAAGAACACCGGUGGCGAAGGCGACAUCCUGGACCGGUAUUGACGCUGAGGCGCGAAAGCCAGGGGAGCAAACGGG
rnacentral:rRNA from 1 species